rnacentral:lncRNA from 1 species
GUAGGAGAGAGUGUCCGAAAGAGGGCUUACCUAUGGACUUCACCACUAUUCUAAUCUGCUCACCAACCAAAUCAAUGGAAUGUUAGGGAAGAAUGAUGAAGCUUUGCGUAAAGAAAUGGGAUGAGAUUUGGGAGUGACAAAUCUCUUUAGGGUUUUCAUAGGUAGCAACAAAGUUAGGAGAAGUGUAGUAAAGAAGGAGGUGUAUGAGGAGGGGAGGAGAGAGGGAGAAGUUGAGGAGAGAGGAGUUAUGGAGUGAAGAGAGUAGAGGAAGAGGUCGGAGG